rfam:Conidiobolus coronatus NRRL 28638 unplaced genomic scaffold CONCOscaffold_140, whole genome shotgun sequence.
AUCCUCUCUUGCCUUUUGGCUAAGAUCAAGUGUAGUAUCUGUUCUUUUCAGAAUAAUUUCUGAAAUGUGUCCCACGGGGCACGGAAAUUAUUUUUAUUUUUGUAACUCGGAAGGAGAGCCUCUGCUUGCAUGCAUUCCAUCCACAGGUGUCCUUAGUAUUGCAGUACCUCUAGGUGACGCCGACCAUUU